AUUGAACGCUGGCGGCAUGCCUUACACAUGCAAGUCGAACGGCAGCACGGGAGCAAUCCUGGUGGCGAGUGGCGAACGGGUGAGUAAUAUAUCGGAACGUGCCCAGUCGUGGGGGAUAACUACUCGAAAGAGUGGCUAAUACCGCAUACGAUCUACGGAUGAAAGCGGGGGACCUUAGGGCCUCGCGCGAUUGGAGCGGCCGAUAUCAGAUUAGGUAGUUGGUAGGGUAAAAGCCUACCAAGCCUGCGAUCUGUAGCUGGUCUGAGAGGACGACCAGCCACACUGGAACUGAGACACGGUCCAGACUCCUACGGGAGGCAGCAGUGGGGAAUUUUGGACAAUGGGCGAAAGCCUGAUCCAGCAAUGCCGCGUGCAGGACGAAGGGCCUUCGGGUUGUAAACUGCUUUUGUUACGGACGAAAAGGUAGACUCCUAAUACGAGCUGCCGAUGACGGUACCGUAA
rnacentral:rRNA from 1 species